UUUCCGUAGGUGAACCUGCGGAAGGAUCAUUAAUGUGUUUGGGCCUCACGGCUCUUCAUUCCGACGCUGUGCGCCUUCGGGCUGCACGCUGAGGGAGCAUAUAUCCACCCCUGAGCACACACACGGUGGCGAGCUGGGUAACGGCUCGCCGCUGAUCUUUACACACGUCUAAAAGUCAUUGUAUGUUUAUUUGAGAUAAAAACACAACUUUCAGCAACGGAUCUCUUGGCUCUC
rnacentral:misc_RNA from 1 species